AGCCAAGAUGGCUGAGUAGAGUGCUGUCCUAACCUGACCCAUUUUGUAAGCAUGCCAAAUGGGUUUUUCAAUGAUCUUUUGUAAAAACCUCGAGAUACAACCAAUGAAUUAGAAAGAACACAUUGAGUGUCUAGUAGGGAAGGCAACAACUUAUCUAUGCCAAGAGACACAAUGCUUACUCAGGUUACAGGUAAAGGAGGGGGAAAAUCAAUUCCCUGACAGAAAAAAUAGCUAUUAAUAGGAGGAAAAUACACUUGCCAUAUUUAAUAUUUCCCCUGGAUCCCGGAGUACAAACUUACCGUAUAUACUCGAGUUUUUCAGCACAUUUUUUAUGCUGAAAAACCCCCACUCGACUUAUACUCAAGUCACUGUCUGUAUUAUGGCAACUUACAUUGCCAUAAUACAUACCAGGACC